UGAGUAACCUGCCCUUAACUCUGGGAUAAGCCUGGGAAACUGGGUCUAAUACCGGAUAUGACUCCUCAUCGCAUGGUGGGGGGUGGAAAGCUUUUUGUGGUUUUGGAUGGACUCGCGGCCUAUCAGCUUGUUGGUGAGGUAAUGGCUCACCAAGGCGACGACGGGUAGCCGGCCUAAGAGGGUGACCGGCCACACUGGGACUGAGACACGGCCCAGACUCCUACGGGAGCAG
rnacentral:rRNA from 1 species